AUUUGUACAAGUAUCUCAAUUAACAUUACUUUAGAACACCACCAACUAGAACCAAAAACAGUGAUUUUGCUCAUCAAUCAAACCCAUCUUUUCUGAAAACAGUCAUGUCAGAAUCUAAUAUGGAAUCUUACCCACCUUUAUUUCGUGUAACAGAUUCUAAUCGGACCCGAAAACCCGAACUAAAAAGUGAGGAGGUAGUAGUAGAGGAUGGGGGAGGCACUUUGGAACCCUCGGUUCUCCCCCUACCCUUAGUUAAUAUGCAGUGUUUGGAUGCAGAGAAACUAGACAGGGCAUGUAGGGAAUGGGGAAUAUUUAGGUUGGAAAAUCAUGGUGUUCCAAGUAAUGUUUUGAAGGAGCUACAGGAGCAUGCCAAAAGGGUAUUUGAGUUUCCUUUUAAAGCCAAACAAGGGCUUAAUAAUAGGUGCCCUAUUAAAUUUUUUUGGGGUACCCCUGCAACAUCUUCAUCUGGGGUAGCUGUUCCAAGAGCUAACAAUAUGGAUUGGAUUGAAGGUUUUCACCUUCCUUUUUCUCAACUUCAUCAACAUCAACACGUUCAUCUUGAUCCUUUAAUUAAUGAUUUCAGAAAGUUAUUGGAAGAAUACAGCAGACACCUAACAAGGAUUGGUUCAACAGUAUUUGAAGCCAUAAUUAAGAAUCUGGAGCUGGAUUUAAAUGAACUGAAAUCAUGCUUAGAUGAAUCGAGUGGGUUAAUUAGAGUAUAUCGUUACCCUAAACAUAAUAUCAAUGAGCACGUUAAGGGUUUGCAUGAACAUACAGACAGUUCUACUCUCUCAAUAUUGAGUGAAGAUCAAGUUGGUGGCCUACAAUUUUACAAAGAUGAUCAAUGGUUCAAAGUCAAGCCUAUUCCAAACACUUUGGUUGUUAAUCUUGGAGAUAUGAUGCAGGUGCUAAGUGAUGAUGCGUACAAAAGCGUGAAGCACAAGGUGGAGCUAAACAAGAACAAGGCAAGGAUAUCAAUUUGCUACUUCGCGUUUCCUGAGGAGAAUACUUUGAUACAAAGCUCACAUUACAAACCUUUCACUUAUAAUGAUUUUCAAGCUCAAGUUCAGCAAGAUUUAAAAUUGCAUGGUUGGAAAAUCGGGCUUCAAAACUUCAUUCUUAAAUAAAUUGCUUACUCUUACUCAUGAUAAUUAUUUUAAUUAAUCGAUUUUAAACUCGUAAUCCUGACACUAAGUAGCAGUAUUGAUUGAUUAACCAAUAUAUUGAACUUAUGGUGCAGGGCAUGCUUUUGUUCCUCUGUCUCUAAAGUUUUUGGUACAUUAAUAUUAGAUUGAGAAACCCUCUUCUAAGAGUAUUCUUACUCAUCACCAAAAAAAAGUUCAUCAUAUUUUUCAUAUCUUUUCCCUCUCUUAAAAGUUUAUCUUUCAACCUAAUUUUUUUAACAUUAACCUCUUUUAAAAGGUCAUCAUCCUCUCUUUCUUACUUUUUUUCUACCACUAGUGGAAAAAAACGUAUUUGUUGCUUAUCAUUUGUUGCGGUUUUUGUAUAUACGCAGCAAUAAGUAAGAAAAAGAAUUAGAAAAAAAACACCAUUAAUUGCUGCUAUUUUAGGCCUUGACCGCAGCAAAUACACAUGAGCAGCUUCAAUUGCUGCGGUUUGUUUCAUGCCCGCAGCAAAUAGUUCUUGCAAUUGCUCCGGUUCUUCACUACCCGCAUAAAAUAACACACUUCUUCACUCAAUUGCUGCGGUUUGUCCCUUGCCCGCAGCAUUUGCAUUUUCAAAAACCCGCCAUAUGUUAACGUUAAAACAUACAAAUGAGUUUGUAAACCCACGAAACUGCUUUCAUUGUUUACAUAUACGACUGUUGCACUUCUUCACUCAAUACUAAAACUGCCGGUUUUCUUGUUCAUCAUAAUUUGUUCGAUUACUGUCUUCAAUCCUUCAUCUUCAUCAUCUUUUUAUUCUUGUUCUUCUUUGAUCAUCAUUCUUGCUCUUCUUAUUGCUUUGUUGUUGCUCUUCUUAAACCCAUGAAAACCCACGAAAUUUGGGCUUAGUUCUUGCUCUUCAUCAAGGUAUAAUUUUUUAACGCUUAUUAGUUCUCAAACCCAUUAUUGUUCAAGCUUCAUUAAUUGUGUACGUUUAGGGCGCUUAGUUUUUUUUAUACUAUUUUUUUUUUCAUUGUAUAGGUUAUACACUAACUCACCAAAACCCACGACAAUUCAAGGUGGUGCCCUUCCUUCAAACAAAUCAACUAAAAGAGGUGAUCGAUAUAGCACGUUGAGAUCAUUAUAUGAACCUGGCAUCCCAAAAAAGGCAUGCCAUAUCCAUAAGUCAUGAUCAGCGACAGCUUCAAGAAUUAAUGUCGCAACACCAGCUCGGCCUUGAUAUUGCCCAUUCCAUGCUGCUGGGCAAUUCUUCCACUCCCAAUGCAUGCAAUCAACACUACCAAUCAUGCCAGGGAAUCCUCGUUCUUUACUAAAGGCCAAUAAUCUCAUCAAAUCUUGUGGUGUUAGUUUUCUCAAAUAAUGUUACCAAAAUUGGUUGAUUAUUCCCUUUGUGAAAUGAGUUAGUGCUUUUCAUGCUGUGCUUUCGCUAAUUCGGAGGUACUCAUCAACUUGAUCAGCAGCCACCCCAUAUGCAAGCAGUUGGUAGUGAACCAUGGAUCGUUGUUGGAGACAGCUUCCAUUAUCCGUAAAAAUACAUGUUUCCUCAUCCUAAACCUACGUCGAAACAAUCGAGAAGAAUAUGUAGGAUAUUCAGCAAAAUAGUCAUUAAAUAGUUGGGAAUGACCUUUUGAAUGGUCUCUUUGAACUUGACAAUUUUUUUUUAGUUCUCACCCUUGGUUGUAGUGUUGAAACAAUAGGAGGAAUAGCGUAUUAAAAGGCAUAAUGAACCAUAUUAUCUAAUAUUAUCUAAUAGUUCAUUCUCUUCGUCGGAAGAUUAAGAACUUGAAGUGGAUGAGGCAAAAUUGAACUUAUAAAAACUCAUUUUGAAGUUAUACAUCCAAUUGAACGUGGAUGUGCAUAUAUAUAAUAUUAUGCAUGCCAAAAAGUGAUGGAAAUGAGAAGACUAAUGCAUGCCAAAAGGUGAUGGAAAGGAAAAGACUAAUGCAUGCCAAAAGGUGAUGAAAAUGAGAAGACUAAAGCAUGUCGAAAGGUGAUGGAAAGGAAAAGACUAACGCAUGCCAAAAGGUGAUGGAAAUGAGAAGACUAAUGCAUGCCAAAAGGUGAUGGAAAGGAAAAGACUAAUGCAUGCCAAAAGGUGAUGGAAAGGAAAAGACUAAUUGCAUGCCAAAAGGUGAUGGAAAUGAGAAGACUAAUGCAUGCCAAAAGGUGAUGGAAAUGAGAAGACUAAUGCAUGAAAACCUUAUAUAAUUAAAACAUCUUUUUAAGACAUUACAUAAUUAAAACAUCUUUUUAAGACAUUACAUAAUUAAAACAUCAUUUUAAAACAUUACAUAAUUAAACCAUCAUUAAAAAAAAUACAUAAUUAAAACAUAAUUAAGACAUUACAUAAUUAAACCAUCUACUGGCGAUUGUAAUUCUGAAAGUAUUGUCCAAGUUGAACCAUCAUGUCAGCUUCCCAUGGCUAAAGAGUUUCCUUUUUGCUUAAUGUUUGAUAGAUAUCCCAAUUCAAUCGAUAUUCUUCCAUUUGAAGUUGUUUUUGUUUUCCGGUUUCUUUUUGUUUUUGAAAUUCUGUCUUCUCCUUCAUUAUUUCUGAAUUAAGUUGAAGACUCUCUUCAAAUGCACUCUAAGCUUGAAUUGAUUAAUCUGCAACCAUUUUCCCAGUCAUGCGAGCCUUUGCCUUCUUCACACCCUCGGGGCGAGUGGAUGAUCCUUCUUGAGGUUCACUUGUUGGUGUUUCAAAAUCUUCUUCCAUCCUUGAUCUUUUCCCACUACUUUCACUACUAACACCACCAGUUGGUUGUUGAUCCAAUCGUUUUCCUUAAUUACUUUUUACCACUUGCUUCCACUUGUUAUACUUUCCUAAAAUUUUCCAUUGCUCAAUCAAGCUAAAGUAAUCGUGUUUUCUUUGAUGGAUUAAAUGCGCUUCUUUAAGCACAUCUUCGUCUCUCGUCCCACUCUUCUUCCUCCUAAGAGCCACGUUAUAACUUCCAGACCACUUCAAACAUGCUGGAGCAAAUCUACCCUAACGACAUUUAAGCAUGUCGGUGGUUCUUCGUGGGAUCAGAUGGGGUUGUUCCAUCCUCGCUGCUUCAUAAGCUUCCUUAACUUUUUGCCACCUCACUCUUAUCUUUUGGUUGGUGCUCACAAUUGGAUCUGUACUUGUGUUCAUGACUAAACAUAUGAGAGCAAUAUCUUCAAUCAAAUCCCAACUUUUCUUUGAAGGUAUAGGGGCUUCAUCAUUAGGAUGUUGUUGAGAUGGUUGAACCAAUUGAGUGAAGCUCGGUGGUGAACCAAAUUGUGAAAGUAGAUCUUGAAAUGAUGGUUGGGUGUAGAGACUAGCAUCAACAUGAUGAACAAAAUUUCCUCCAUCUUCACCAUAUUGAUCAUCUUGAUCAUUUCCUUCAUUUUCAUCAUCAUCAUCAUCUUCUUCAUCAUACUCCAUCUCAUUUUUUCAUAACUUUCACUCCUUAUCGGAGUUGAAUAAUUAUCAAUAUUAGAGUUGAUAUUGUGAGAUUGAUGAUGGUGGUGAAACAUAGUUUGAGAAUUUUGGGUAUUUUGAGGAACAUAAUAAGAUGAAUUUGGGAUAUUUUGAGGAAUAUAGUAAGAAGAAUUUGGUGUAUUUUGAGAAAAUGGAGGAUUUUGAUACUGAAUUUGAACACUUUGAUUGUUAGAAGAAUUUUUUCUUAGUUUUUUUUUACUUGGAUUGCUUCCAUAAUUUGGGUUAUUUGAAUCCAUAUUUUUUUUUGGAUUAUUGAAAUGAUUAUUUUGGUAUUUUUUUAACAAAAAAAACAGUAGGAAAAUAAGAAGAAAAUAUGUAAAUAUAAAAUUAUGUCAAAAAAUAUCAAUAUGGGUCUCAUUUUAUAGAUCUCGAAAAAAUAUGACCGUUGGUAUAAUUUUUUUUAAAAAAAAAUCAAUUAAAUCCGAAAAUAGUCGUUAUUACAUUAAACGGCUAUUUUUUGGCAACCAAUCAAAAGCAGCCAUGUGGGUUUGCUAGCUGACACGCGUGUCAGGGAAUGCAGGGGGGAGCUGCAGGUUUUCAUGGACCAAUAAAAACGCAACACGUGGCAAUUUUUUUGAAAAAAAAUUGAGUGACCGUUCACUUGAACGGGUCACGUGAAGACCUUGUUUGCUGAUCUAUUCCCCAACCCACCUAAUAAAAGAUCACCAUUUUUAUUAUUUUUUCCCUUGUUUGGUCAUAUGACCCAAAAAGAGAUCAUCACUAUUGAUGCUCGAAUUGAGUCACUUGUUUAGAAAUGAGGCAGAUAGUUUGUUACCUACAAUAAAUAAUAAAUAAAAUUUAAUAAAAUCUAUAGAAGAUAUUUUUCAAUUAUCUCCAUUCCAUAUUAUUUGCUACAUUUCUCAAUUUUAGUAGUUAUAAUUUACAUGCUAUAUUUCUAUUUUUAAUAAUAAAACAACUCCAUAAAUAUCUAUUUUACGCUUUAAUUUUUAUCCUACUUUAUGCCUCAUUAAAUUUUAUAUUUACCAUUAUUUAAUCUUUACAUAUUUUCAACUAAAAUUAACUCCAUAUAUAUUUCUCUUUUCCAUUUUCUCACUCACCAUCACUCUCACCCUCACCCUUAUCUUCAUCUUUUGAAUCAUCUUGAAACGCUUUUCUCACUCACCCUCAUCUUCACCUUUUGAAACCCAUUUCUCACUCUUUCUCAUCUUCAUCUUGAAACUCAUUUCUCACUCACCCUCAUCUUCAUGUUGAAACCCAUUUCUCACUCACCCUUAUUUUCAUCUUUUGAAACCCAUUUCCUACUCACUCUCUUCUUCUUCUUCUAAAGCCCACCCCCUCAUCUUCUCCUUCUAUGCAGUACCACCAUCCACAUCUCUCUCUCUCUCUCUCUAUCUCAUCUUCUAAAUCUAUUAUUUAUGUUCUAAUUCAACCCAUUUUGUUGUUGGUGUAAAGCUACUAUUUAUGUUCUAAAUCAGGUUUAUUUAUGGUGUAAUCUUACUAUUUUUUAUUUGACUUAGGGUGUAAAGAACUAGAUCAAAAUAUGAUUUUUGUGGGAAGAUAAUUAGGCAUGCUUUUUGUACAAAAUCAGAAUGUUAUUCUCCUUUUCUUUUCUCUUUAGAUCAGAAUUAUAUGAGGGUUAAAUUGGUCUUUUAAGAGAUAUAUUCUUUUUUCUUAAUUAUUGUGCCAAAGAGUUAUGUAGUAAGAAAAACUGAAUAGAGAAAGUGUAUGGAUGUUAUUGUCAUUUUCUGGUGAAGAGUUAAAUAGGAGAUCGAAUAUUCUCUAGAGGGAAAGGUGAAUAGAGUUUAUCCGUUUUAAAUGUUUUUUUAAAAGUCAUUUCAGAGGCUUGAAACUCGUUAUCGAGGUUCAGCUACAAAUAGCUUAGUCCCCCUACAAGUCCUCUUAACCAGUAAAAUUCAAACCGAUUUCUCUAAUUUGGAAACUUUAGAUUAUUACAAAAAGAUCUCACUAAUUUCUACUUAGAUCCUAUUCUUUCCUUAAAAAACAUUCUAACAAUUUCCUUUUUAUGAAUGAUAAAAAAUACAACUCUCUAAUAAAAAGAACACUUUAAUAAGUGUUUUGGAAGACGCUUUGCUUAAUAACUAAUAACUCUUGCUUUAUAAAAAUGAACUAGGACAAAGAUAGUGAGAGAGAAUAAGAGGAAAAUAGCUUAUAGAUUCUUUUAUAGUACUUAAGAAUUUUUCAAUGGUUGUAUUUCUCGUGCUCUUCUCAUGUUGAAGACUUUAAUACAAUUAUCUAAAAGUCUCAAAGCUAGAAAUCAUUUUUAUAUUGAGUACUUUAGAAUACUAUUUACUCCUAAAUUUAUAAAUCAGUAUUAUUUUUUAAAAUUAUUUACCAGCCAUAAAAUAAUUAUAAAGAAAAUUUUACGUGGUAAUCCUGAGAUUUUGGAUUUUUUACGUGGUAACAAAAACUUUUAAAAAAUACACGUGGUAACCUCGAGGUUUACCAAAUUGUUCCACCUUGACCUUUUUGCAUAUAAAAUGUUAGCAAACGUUAAUUUCAAAGCUUUUAAGGCUGCUGUAACCCUAUUUAUGCGAUUCAUCAUUUCAAAUACCAUCAAUUUCAACCUUUUUCCUUGAAACAUAAACCCUAACUCUAUCAUCUUUCAACCAAAUUAUAUUUUUCUCUGAUUUUAACUGUUAUUUACUAAGAUCUCCUCUGAUAACUGGGAAAGCGCAUCUGUUGACUUGUUGUAACGGUAUCAUAUUUUAUGUAUAAUGUUGUUAUUCUUAUCAGCACUUCCACUUCAUCCUUCCCCCUUUUUUCCACUACUUCAUAUUCUCUUGCAUGAACAGCAAGAAAGGAAUGACAUUCCACAUUUGUGAGUUAUGAUUAUACUUCCAUUAUUUUUAUCCAUGCAAACAUCAGCCGCAAACAGUAGUUAUGUGGUGUCAUAAUACAUUUUUAAUUUGGAUAAACGGGGUAAAAUGCUCGGAAUUGGUUUCGUAUAAUUUUAUUAUUAUUAUUAUUAUUAUUAUUAUUAUUAUUAUUAUUGUUUAAUUCUUAUUGUUCUGAAACAUAUAUUAAAAAAUUAUUAUUCCCUCCGAACCAAUUUAGUUGUCCUAUUUGCUUGGGCACGGUUAUUAAGGGUGGUGUCGGAUCUAUUAAAAAGAUAAUAGUUGGCUAAGUAGUGAAGGUUUAUUUAAUUAAUUAGUUUGGGUAAUUAGGGUAUAUUCAUAAUUACGUGUGUGAACUAUGGGUAUUUAGGUAAAAAAAAGAUUGAUAAACAAGAAAAUGUGAUAAUUGAUAUUAAUUUGCCAAAUAAGGAAAUGUGACAACUAGGUUCAGUGGGAGUAUUUAUUAUUUUACUAAAUUUGAAAUUUUUGUUUUUGUGAUAUCCAGCACAAAGUUUUUUUUAAUUAAAUCCAAAAAAUAACAAGAAAAAUAUGAAAUUUCGUAGUCAAUACUUAAUUGUAAGAGAACGGUCGAACCCAUGGAAUAUCAUUUUGUUUGAUUUUUGGGUUGAAGAAGAUUGAAAUAAUUCUAAUUAUCUUAUAUUAGAAUAGAAACUCGUGCAAUGUACAGAUAUUUUAAUACGUUAAUAUUUUUAAGACUAAUAAAAAUAUUAAAUGAAGGUGCAUAAUUAAAUAUUUAUAUAUGCAUAUUGUAAUUGGAACAAAAAAUUAAAUAUAAAGAAACUCAAAAUAGAUUAUUAAUAAAGGGCAUAUAGGUUUUGAAUCACUUUUUUAUAUACUAUGUUCUCUGUAAGAUGACAUAAAUUGUAGUAUUGAUUGUAAUUGACAGAUUGUAAUAGCACAGUAUAAUUAGAAUAACUAUAUUUUAUUAUAUCUAUUAAUAUUAUAAAUUUUUUACAUAGUACAUAAUAUAUAUUACAGUCACGGAUGGUCAUGGGUCUAGGACCCUGUUGGACCCGCUCCGGACCCGCCCCUUUUAUAAGGGUCUGGGUCUUAAUAUUUGAGACCCAUCGGAUCCGGGUUGGAUCUGGAUUCAAAAAAUAUCUGACGGGUUCGGGUUCGAUUUCGGGUCCAAGUCUAAGGUGCAGAUGCGGACUCGGACUUAGACCCGACCUCGAGACCCAAACCCUAGACUCGCCCCUUAGACAAGCUCAUGCAUUUAGACAAGUGUUUGGUUUUUAAUUAUGGGUUUAGACAAGUGUUUGGUUUUUAAUUAUGCAUUUAGACAAGUGUUUUUACUUUUUAGUAAUUAUUUUGUAUUUGAAUUUCAUGGACUCGAACAAGUGUUUGUAAUACGAUAAUAAGUUACUUAAAAAAAUACAAAAAGACUUGCAACAGGUUCAAUUUUGACAAAUCAAAGAGACUUUAUUUAAGACCCAUUAAAGACCCUAGACCCGUCAGAUCUGGAGGGUCUGCGUCUGGGUCUGAAAAUUUUAGACCCUUAGGGUCCGGAUCCGGGUCUGGAUCUAUAAAAAAUAAAAGGAUCUGGGUCCGGUUCUAGCCAGACUUGCUCCAGACCCGCCCCAUGACCACCUAAUCGCAGUAUAAUUUUUUGAAUUACAUUAUAUAUAUCACAGUAUAAUUGGAAUUAUUUUAAUUUACUAUAUCCAUUAAUAUAUAAAUUUUUUUCAAAAAUGCGAAGUUUUAAAUAUGGUAGGUCCCAAAAAGAAGUAUAAUUAGUCAAAUGGUAUUAAUAUUGUCCAAUAAAAAAAAGACACUUGACAGACUCUCUAUCAAGCUGUCAUAUGUUAUUAUACAACAAAAUAUAGAUUGUAUGGUUUCCUCCUAGUUACUAUUAUUGUCCCAUUUGUUUUUCAAACAUUAUUCAUCAAUUACUCUCUCUUAAAAAUUACCCGAUUUUUCUUUAUUUCAAAUCUGAUGAGACAAAUGAACAUAUACUACUACAUAUAUAUUUGAAU